rnacentral:misc_RNA from 1 species
GAUGAAGAACGCAGCGAACUGCGAUAAGUAAUGUGAAUUGCAGAAUUCAGUGAAUCAUCGAGUCUUUGAACGCACAUUGCGCCCCCUGGCAUUCCGGGGGGCAUGCCUGUCCGAGCGUCAUUGCCGCCCUUCAAGCCCGGCUUGUGUGUUGGGUCGUCGUCCCCCCCGGGGGACGGGCCCGAAAGGCAGCGGCGGCACCGCGUCCGGUCCUCGAGCGUAUGGGGCUUUGUCACCCGCUCGAUUAGGGCCGGCCGGGCGCCAGCCGGCGUCUCCAACCUUCUAUUUUACCAGGUUGACCUCGGAUCAGGUAGGGAUACCCGCUGAACUUAAGCAUAUCAAUAAGCGGAGGA